AAAGAAUAGAAAUAAUUGUAAAGCCAAUAAACAGACUUCACCCACAGUGAUCAACUGACCAACAACUAGAUUCAGUUCAACUCCACGAACAGUAAUUGUAGAAUCAACAUAGAGUGGAAAAUCCUUCUCUAAAUAAAAGCCAAAGUGGGAUAGUGAUGAUUGGGUCCCCAAAGGUACAAGUCCUCAGGUUGUGGAGCAGGCAAUUUGGCACACCUUACUUCCUAUCUCCAUCAAGAAAAGACUGAGGACCCACUGUGGAUGCAGAGGGAAGCCUGCGUGUUUGGCCGGCAAUCGCAAUGCUAAGAUGCAGGAAGCUGAGUGGAGCCAAAGAGAGUAGCUGGCAAGUGGCUGACGGCUUGGUCUACGAUCACAGGUGAGCACCCAGAUAACAGGCACGAUGUGGAUUCAGUCUGCUCCAUGUUGGGAGGCUCCUCGGGGAUCCCAGGAGUUCAGUCUCAUCAGUAAAUGAAGAUGGAUGCUGGCAUCUGCUGUGUACCCUACUGUGCUGUGAACAUUUGAGAAAGCUUCACGAAUCCUUGACUAAACAACCAGUGUCUUACUGUUCUUGUCAAAAGCUUCCUUUUUAGGCUCAGAGUGGCAUGUCACCAAAGCUAUAGAAUGACAAGCAAAUUUGGAAAUGUACUUUUACAGAACCACGUUGGGGAGAAGACCAAGCUCCCAUGUGAAAGAUGCCCUCCCUAAACCAGGAGGAAAGAAACAUUCUUAUCACCAGAGAUGGAGAACAGAGGCUGAGAGAAAUCUGUACAAACAGAUCUUGUGAAAAUAACCCUUAUCUUCUUUAGUCUCCCUAUCAUUAUGGUUAUUUUUCCACAAUUACAACUUUUGUUCAACCUAGUAUAUAAGUUAGGCAUUUAAGCCUGACCGCUUUUAGGGUCUUCAUUUUCCUGUGAGGGCUCCCAUAUGCAUGUAAAAAUAUCAAAUAAAAUUUGUAUGUUUUUCUCCUGUUAAUCUGUCUUAUAUCAACUUAAUUCUCAGGCAGUGAGAUAAUGGAAAAUAUAUAUUGGUCUCUGGUUCCUGGCACAGAGCACGUAAACCCCUUGUAAUUGCCUAAGUGAUAAGAACACUAGAAGCAUCUCUUGUUCUAACGUUGGUCUUUGACCUCAGUUCCUGACACAGGGCUCCUGAAACCCUUGUAACUUCCUGGGUAAAAGGAGUGUCUUGUUUUAAUGAGGUGACUCUGGACUCCUCAAUGAGAGCUGGUUACCAGAAGGACCAAGUCAUGAUUAGAAGCUUGGAAUUUUCAGCCCCACCUCCCAUUCUCUUGAGAAGGGAGAUGGGGCUGAAAAUGCAGUUGAUGUUCAAUCAUGCCUAUGUGACAAAGCCUCCGUAAAAUCCCAAAAGUAUAGGGUUUGGAGAGCUUCCAGGUUGGUGAACACAUGGAGGUGCUGGGAGAGUCACGUGCCUGGAGAGGGCACGGAAGGUCCACGUCCCUUCCCAUAUACCUUGCCCUACGCAUCUCUCCCCUCUGGAUGUUCAUCUGUAUCCUUUAUCAUAGCCUUGUAUAAUGAACUGGAAAUGUAAGUGAGCUGUUUCCCUGAGUUCUGUGAGCCGCUCUAGCAAAUUAAUCAAACCCAAGGACUGAGUUGUUGGAACUUCCAAUCUAUAGCCGGUUGGUCAGAAGCACAGGUGACAAUCUGGGCUUGUGACUGGCAUCUGAGGGGUGUGUGUGUGUGUGUGUGUGCAGGGGGCAGUCUUGUGGGGACUGAGACUUUACACUGUGAAUCUGACGCUAUCUCUGGCUUGAGUCAGAAUUGAAUCAAAUUGUGGGACGCCCAGCUGGUGUCGCAGAAACUUGCUCAUUGUUGUGAUGACAAACCUCCACACGUUUGGUGAGCAGAAGUGUUCUCUGUGAAGGUAAAGGAGACACACAGGGAAGAAACUUAUAGUAGGGAAGAACUGGAUUUUUCCCUUCAUAGGAAGGAAAAAACUGAGUUUUUCCAUUUAAUCAGGCCCAGCCGGAGACUGUAACAGGGUAGAGGGAAAGUCUUGCCUUCCCCAGAGAAGCUUGUUAACUACUUGGUGUUGGUUGAAAAACAACAUCCUCUCUCCCCCUCACCCACGCUUUCUGCCAGUUCCUGGGAUUGUUGAAAUGGGAAGGAGUUGUAAAGAGGUGAGGGGGUUAUUCAGGGGUUCCUAGAAGGAAUGUUGUGAGUAUGAAUGCCAUUCCAGGGGUCCUUGGCCCUAUCUCUGCUUUGCCUCUGUCUCUCUCGAGAUCGUUUGUUCCUUGUUCUGUUUUUCAGAAGUGAAAGAAAUUAGAUUUCAGAAUCACUUGACAGGAGGAGAGGAGGUGCAAGAAAACAC
ensembl:lncRNA